UUUUUUUGAGAAUUUGAUCCUAGUUCAGGGUGAACGCUAGCGGCGUGCCUAAGGUAUGCAA
rnacentral:rRNA from 1 species